rnacentral:tmRNA from 1 species
GGGGGCGAACAGGGUUCGACCGGAUAGGCGAAGCGUAAGUGGCGUGUCGUGGUUGAUCGGUGGCCCACGUAAAAAGCCGAUCGCAACCUUCAAUUGCCGAAGGUAACUACGCUUUGGCUGCCUAGAUUUAGGCUGCCCGUUUGCCAGCAGCUCGCCGGAAGCAGCUGACCGAACGUAUAACCCCCUCCGGACCGCUGCGAGUCAUUGCUGAGCACGCUCGCGGUUAAAUAAGUUCUUGGCUAGUGCGUUGGUAGCCCUGCCCGCGAGGCGCCCAACGUGCGAAAUCAAAACUCGUAGGACACACACGUAGAAGCUUGCGUGGAGAUAUUACGGGACGCGGGUUCGAUUCCCGCCGCCUCCAC